rnacentral:rRNA from 1 species
UUCUCGUAAGAUCACCGAAGUUAAGCAACGGCGAACCUGGUCAGUUCCUAGAUGGGUGACCGCUUGGGAAUACCAGGAGCUGUAAG